AUACGGAGGGUGCAAGCGUUACUCGGAAUCACUGGGCGUAAAGCGCGCGCAGGCGGGCUGAUAAGUUGGAUGUGAAAGCCUACGGCUCAACCGUAGAACUGCAUCCAAAACUGUCAGUCUAGAGUCUGGGAGGGGAAGAUGGAAUUAGUUGUGUAGGGGUAAAAUCCGUAGAGAUAACUAGGAAUACCAAAAGCGAAGGCGAUCUUCUGGAACAGUACUGACGCUGAGGCGCAAAAGCGUGGGGAGCGAACAGGAUUAGAAACCCUGGUAGUCC
rnacentral:rRNA from 1 species